rnacentral:pre_miRNA from 1 species
GUGUUGGACAAAGUGUCUUUAAGUAGAGAUAAAUUACUCUAAAAGAAAUGAAUCCGAGGUAGCUUUCUCUUCAAGUCAAGUGCCUUGU